UGAACGGCCUUAUGCACUCCAGUGGCAUUUCCGUAAUUUUCAACACGACACAAAAGUGCACUGCAUAGCUCUUCCUUCUUCCAGCUGACAACAAACUGGCGAACUUUCUCCAUUUUUUCUCGUCAGCCAAACAGAAAUUAAAAUAAUAAUAAUUUUGCUAUAGUUUCUUUUAUUUUUCUGAAUAUAUGAUGACACAAACAAUCAAGUGGCAUGAAGGAGUAGUGCAUGGCUGUGCCUCAUUCCCAUCCUCUGCUAUUCCAAUCUUCAACACCAGGAAGAAAAUUGAGGUGAUAAAGGUAACUUCAAAAGCAACGAAGUUUAUAAGUUCAGAGUCAAAUGGAAAUAAAGUAGCAAAUUUGUGUGCUGCGAAGACGGAAAGAAUUAAGCUGCCAAAUUACGAUGUCGGAAGCAAGAGUUUCCACAUCGGUGAGUUUUUGAGCCACCAAUCAGGAAUUGAAGCCAUGCUCAACACCAGAGCCUUGGAAAGUUUUCAAUCCCUUGAUGCUGAUAUUUACAGGUGCACUCUGCCAAAACUUAAGCUUUUGAAUUAUGAAGCUGCUCCAGUUCUGGACUUGAGAGUAACCCCAAGAAAUGAAGAUUGUAUAGUUGAGAUGCUUUCGUGCAGGUUUGAGGGUUCAGAAGCUGUGGAACGCCAAAACAGCCAUUUUUCAGCAUUCAUGACUAAUCACAUGUCGUGGGACACGAACAACUCUGAAUCGUUUUUGGAGGUUGACGUGAAGUUGCAACUCACACUUGAGAUAUAUACACGCCCUUUUAAUAUGAUGCCGGUAUCAGCUGUUGAGCGUCCUGGAAAUCUCCCCUCCAUUUAAACUGUGGAAGUGUGAUGACAAUGCAGAAUGAUGCAAGCGUUGGUGGAUCGGCUGGUGCCAUUGCUUCUGCAGCAACUACUACAAGAUUAUGGAAAAUGGAUUGAUGAACAGUUACAGGAUGCCUCAUAAAGUGGUCCAUUCAUGCAUAGAGAGUAGGUGACCUUGCCAUCUAAUUUAAGGCCGAUUGUAACCAGCGAGGGCACAUGUUUGCAGAUUGCGCAACCUGGGCACAUUGUUCAGCAAACCCUCCAAGGGAUUACAAGAUAAAUCAAGAUAUCUCAAAUGUAUCAGUUCCCCGAGGGAUUCCAGGGAUCUGUACAUGACCAUAUUUCAACUGUGUUUUGAAAAGAAAGAUGAAACGACAAUUUCGCUCGUGUAGUUAUACUUUGAACUCAAUUUCAUUCAUCUAGUUUGAAUUGCUCGAA